GAGUAGUCUUCCUGCCCUGCCUCUGCUGAGCUCAUGCCCCUCUCUACCCAGAGCCCAGGGCCCUCCCAGCUGAGAGCUCUCAGGAGCUAGUCUGGUUCCCUGGGCCACUCCAAUAAGAGAAGAAGAUUCUGGGAUCCACAGCCUGGUGGUGUCCAGUCUGCCCAGCUGCCUCCGGCCUGGUUCUGCCUCACGGUGACAACACUGAGGUCUGGUGACUCACCCAGGGUCAUGCAGCCUGUGAGUGGCAGAGUGAGCCGGGAACCUGGCUGCUGGCUGAGAAAUUUCAGGGCUUCUUCUUUGAGUGCCCAGCAGGAUUGCAGCACCACAUGGCUCUGGGGCUCUCCCACUGGCCAGUCUGGGCUGAAGGGAAUGAAGUGAAGAGAGGGAGUUUCCCCUAAAGAUUUUUACAUAGCAGUGCAUGUGAAGCUGCCUCAUUCUUUUCAUGCUGGUGGAGCACCGUGGUAUAGAUGCCUCAUCAUGGAUUCAACCAGCCUCCGAAAGUCUCCAGUCUUUGUCUCUUAUCAAGAUUUCCACAGUGAAUAAUGCAUCAUUGCCGACACACAGGGAGUUGUCAACAGGGUUGUAUGUCUAUAUAUCACUUCCCACGUGGUUGAUACAUGUGAUAUGUAUGUGUUUCUGUAGAAUAAAUACUCAGAGGUGAAAUUGUUGAGCCAAA